UUAAGCGACUAAGCGUACACGGUGGAUGCCCUGGCAGUCAGAGGCGAUGAAGGGCGUGCUAAUCUGCGAUAAGCGCCGGUAAGGUGAUAUGAACCGUUAUAACCGGCGAUACCCGAAUGGGGAAACCCAGUGUGACUCGUCACACUAUCAUUAACUGAAUCCAUAGGUUAAUGAGGCGAACCGGGGGAACUGAAACAUCUAAGUACCCCGAGGAAAAGAAAUCAACCGAGAUUCCCCCAGUAGCGGCGAGCGAACGGGGAGGAGCCCAGAGCCUGAAUCAGCAUGUGUGUUAGUGGAAGCGUCUGGAAAGGCGCGCGAUACAGGGUGACAGCCCCGUACACAAAAGCGCAUAUGCUGUGAGCUCGAUGAGUAGGGCGGGACACGUGGUAUCCUGUCUGAAUAUGGGGGGACCAUCCUCCAAGGCUAAAUACUCCUGACUGACCGAUAGUGAACCAGUACCGUGAGGGAAAGGCGAAAAGAACCCCGGCGAGGGGAGUGAAAAAGAACCUGAAACCGUGUACGUACAAGCAGUGGGAGCACAGGUUUACCUGUGUGACUGCGUACCUUUUGUAUAAUGGGUCAGCGACUUAUAUUCUGUAGCAAGGUUAACCGUAUAGGGGAGCCGUAGGGAAACCGAGUCUUAACCGGGCGUUAAGUUGCAGGGUAUAGACCCGAAACCCGGUGAUCUAGCCAUGGGCAGGUUGAAGGUUGGGUAACACUAACUGGAGGACCGAACCGACUAAUGUUGAAAAAUUAGCGGAUGACCUGUGGCUGGGGGUGAAAGGCCAAUCAAACCGGGAGAUAGCUGGUUCUCCCCGAAAGCUAUUUAGGUAGCGCCUCGUGAAUUCAUCUCCGGGGGUAGAGCACUGUUUCGGCUAGGGGGCCAUCCCGGCUUACCAACCCGAUGCAAACUGCGAAUACCGGAGAAUGUUAUCACGGGAGACACACGGCGGGUGCUAACGUCCGUCGUGAAGAGGGAAACAACCCAGACCGCCAGCUAAGGUCCCAAAGUCAUGGUUAAGUGGGAAACGAUGUGGGAAGGCCCAGACAGCCAGGAUGUUGGCUUAGAAGCAGCCAUCAUUUAAAGAAAGCGUAAUAGCUCACUGGUCGAGUCGGCCUGCGCGGAAGAUGUAACGGGGCUAAACCAUGCACCGAAGCUGCGGCAGCGACGUUUAUGCGUUGUUGGGUAGGGGAGCGUUCUGUAAGCCUGCGAAGGUGGCCUGUGAGGGUUGCUGGAGGUAUCAGAAGUGCGAAUGCUGACAUAAGUAACGAUAAAGCGGGUGAAAAGCCCGCUCGCCGGAAGACCAAGGGUUCCUGUCCAACGUUAAUCGGGGCAGGGUGAGUCGACCCCUAAGGCGAGGCCGAAAGGCGUAGUCGAUGGGAAACAGGUUAAUAUUCCUGUACUUGGUGUUACUGCGAAGGGGGGACGGAGAAGGCUAUGUUGGCCGGGCGACGGUUGUCCCGGUUUAAGCGUGUAGGUGUGUGUUCCAGGUAAAUCCGGUUCACUUUAACACUGAGGCGUGACGACGAGGCACUACGGUGCUGAAGCAACAAAUGCCCUGCUUCCAGGAAAAGCCUCUAAGCAUCAGGUAACAUCAAAUCGUACCCCAAACCGACACAGGUGGUCAGGUAGAGAAUACCAAGGCGCUUGAGAGAACUCGGGUGAAGGAACUAGGCAAAAUGGUGCCGUAACUUCGGGAGAAGGCACGCUGACACGUAGGUGAAGUGAUUUACUCACGGAGCUGAAGUCAGUCGAAGAUACCAGCUGGCUGCAACUGUUUAUUAAAAACACAGCACUGUGCAAACACGAAAGUGGACGUAUACGGUGUGACGCCUGCCCGGUGCCGGAAGGUUAAUUGAUGGGGUCAGCGCAAGCGAAGCUCCUGAUCGAAGCCCCGGUAAACGGCGGCCGUAACUAUAACGGUCCUAAGGUAGCGAAAUUCCUUGUCGGGUAAGUUCCGACCUGCACGAAUGGCGUAAUGAUGGCCAGGCUGUCUCCACCCGAGACUCAGUGAAAUUGAACUCGCUGUGAAGAUGCAGUGUACCCGCGGCAAGACGGAAAGACCCCGUGAACCUUUACUAUAGCUUGACACUGAACAUUGAGCCUUGAUGUGUAGGAUAGGUGGGAGGCUUUGAAGUGUGGACGCCAGUCUGCAUGGAGCCGGCCUUGAAAUACCACCCUUUAAUGUUUGAUGUUCUAACGUGGACCCGUGAUCCGGGUUGCGGACAGUGUCUGGUGGGUAGUUUGACUGGGGCGGUCUCCUCCUAAAGAGUAACGGAGGAGCACGAAGGUUGGCUAAUCCUGGUCGGACAUCAGGAGGUUAGUGCAAUGGCAUAAGCCAGCUUGACUGCGAGCGUGACGGCGCGAGCAGGUGCGAAAGCAGGUCAUAGUGAUCCGGUGGUUCUGAAUGGAAGGGCCAUCGCUCAACGGAUAAAAGGUACUCCGGGGAUAACAGGCUGAUACCGCCCAAGAGUUCAUAUCGACGGCGGUGUUUGGCACCUCGAUGUCGGCUCAUCACAUCCUGGGGCUGAAGUAGGUCCCAAGGGUAUGGCUGUUCGCCAUUUAAAGUGGUACGCGAGCUGGGUUUAGAACGUCGUGAGACAGUUCGGUCCCUAUCUGCCGUGGGCGCUGGAGAACUGAGGGGGGCUGCUCCUAGUACGAGAGGACCGGAGUGGACGCAUCACUGGUGUUCGGGUUGUCAUGCCAAUGGCACUGCCCGGUAGCUAAAUGCGGAAGAGAUAAGUGCUGAAAGCAUCUAAGCACGAAACUUGCCCCGAGAUGAGUUCUCCCUGAGACUUAGAGUCUCCUGAAGGAACGUUGAAGACGACGACGUUGAUAGGCCGGGUGUGUAAGCGCAGCGAUGCGUUGAGCUAACCGGUACUAAUGAACCGUGAGGCUUAACCU
rnacentral:rRNA from 1 species